rnacentral:sRNA from 1 species
GGUCACCACCCCCGAAGAGAUCGCUCAAGUCGCCACAAUUUCCGCCAAUGGAGACACCGUCGUCGGAAAUCUCAUCAGUGACGCCAUGAAGAAG